ACCCGCUGAACUUAAGCAUAUCAAUAAGCGGAGGAAAAGAAACCAACAGGGAUUGCCCUAGUAACGGCGAGUGAAGCGGCAACAGCUCAAAUUUGAAAUCUGGCCUCGGCCCGAGUUGUAAUUUGCAGAGGAUGCUUCUGGCGCGGUGCCUUCCGAGUUCCCUGGAACGGGACGCCACAGAGGGUGAGAGCCCCGUAUGGUCGGACACCAAGCCUGUGUGAAGCUCCUUCGACGAGUCGAGUAGUUUGGGAAUGCUGCUCUAAAUGGGAGGUAAAUCUCUUCUAAAGCUAAAUACCGGCCAGAGACCGAUAGCGCACAAGUAGAGUGAUCGAAAGAUGAAAAGCACCUUGAAAAGGGGGUUAAAUAGUACGUGAAAUUGUUGAAAGGGAAGCACUUGUGACCAGACUUGGGCCGGGCGGCUCAUCAGGGGUUCUCCCCUGUGCACUCCGCCCGGCACAGGCCAGCAUCGGUUCUCGUGGGGGGAUAAGACCGUCAGGAACGUAGCACCCUCCGGGGUGUGUUAUAGCCUGGCGGACGAUACCCCCGUGGGGACCGAGGUUCGCGCUCCGCAAGGAUGCUGGCGUAAUGGUCACCAGUGACCCGUCUUGAAACACGGACCAAGGAGUCGUCCAUUAGAGCGAGCGUUUGGGUGUAAAACCCGCACGCGUAAUGAAAGUGAACGCAGGUGAGAGCUUCGGCGCAUCAUCGACCGAUCCUGAUGUUCUCGGAAGGAUUUGAGUAAGAGUUUUAACGGACGGACCCGAAAGACAGUGAACUAUGCUUGUAUAGGGUGAAGCCAGAGGAAACUCUGGUGGAGGCUCGCAGCGGUUCUGACGUGCAAAUCGAUCGUCAAAUAUGAGCAUGGGGGCGAAAGACUAAUCGAACUGUCUAGUAGCUGGUUACCGCCGAAGUUUCCCUCAGGA
rnacentral:rRNA from 1 species